rnacentral:rRNA from 1 species
GAUGAACGCUAGCGGCAGGCUUAAUACAUGCAAGUCGAAGGGUAACAUGGUAGCAAUACUGAUGACGACUGGCGCACGGGUGCGUAACACGUAUGCAAUCUACCUUUAACUGGAGCAUAGCCCCUCGAAAGAGGGAUUAAUACUCCAUAAUAUAAUAGAAUGGCAUCAUUUUAUUAUUAAACCUCCGGGGGUUAAAGAUGGGCAUGCGGUGCAUUAGCUAGUUGGUGAGGUAAUGGCUCACCAAGGCUACGAUGCAUAGGGGUUCUGAGAGGAUAUACCCCCANACUGGUAACUGAGACACGGACCAGACUCCUACGGGAGCAGCAGUAAGGAAUAUGGACAAUGGUGGCAACACUGAUCCAGCCAUGCCGCGUGCAGGAUGACUGCCCUAUGGGUUGUAAACUGCUUUUGUACGGGAAAAAACCCUCGUUCGUGAACGAGGCUGAUGGUACCGUAAGAAUAAGGAU